rnacentral:rRNA from 1 species
UACAGAGGUCCCAAGCGUUGUUCGGAUUCACUGGGCGUAAAGGGAGCGUAGGCGGUCGGGUAAGUCUGACGCGAAAUCUCCAAGCUCAACUUGAAAUGGCGUCGGAUACUAUUCGGCUCGAGGAAUGGAGGGGAGACUGGAAUUCUCGGUGUAGCAGUGAAAUGCGUAGAUAUCGAGAGGAGCACCAGUGGCGAAGGCGAGUCUCUGGACAUUUCCUGACGCUGAGGCACGAAAGCCAGGGGAGCAAACGGG